UAAACAAUGGUAAACUUUUUC
rnacentral:piRNA from 1 species